rnacentral:tRNA from 1 species
GGCCUGAUGGUCUAGUAGUAUGAUUCCUUGUUAGGGUUGUUUAACUAAAUCGAGGAGGUCCCGGGUUCAAUUCCCGGUCAGGCCC